rnacentral:rRNA from 1 species
AGAGUUUGAUCCUGGCUCAGGACGAACGCUGGCGGUGUGCUUCACACAUGCAAGUCGAACGGAGUAGCAAUACUCAGUGGCGGACGGGUGAGUAACACGUGGGAAUCUACCAUUAGGUGGGGAAUAACAGGCCGAAAGGACUGCUAAUGCCGCAUAUGUAGGCAUCUCGACAGAGAUGUUUAUGAAAGGAGUAAUCCGCCUUUUGAUGAGCCCGCGUCCGAUUAGCUAGUUGGUAGGGUAAAAGCCUACCAAGGCGACGAUCGGUAGGUGGUCUGAGAGGAUGAUCACUCACAAUGGGACUGAGACACGGCCCAUACUCCUACGGGAGGCAGCAGUGGGGAAUUUUACGCAAUGGGGGAAACCCUGACGUAGCGACACCGCGUGAGCGAAGAAGCCCUUUGGGGUGUAAAGCUCUGUCAACAGGAACGAAACAAAUGACGGUACCUGUGGAGGAAGCAUCGGCUAACUACGUGCCAGCAGCCGCGGUAAGACGUAGGAUGCAAGCGUUGUCCGGAUUUAUUGGGCGUAAAGAGUUCGUAGGCGGUUUGUUAAGUCUGAUGUUAAAGACCGGGGCUCAACCUCGGAAAUGCAUUGGAUACUGGCAGACUGGAGUGCAGUAGAGGCUAGUGGAAUUCCCAGUGUAGCGGUGAAAUGCGUAGA